rnacentral:misc_RNA from 1 species
GGUCUAAAUAUUUAUAGCGCCCCUUCCUAAAAUGCGGUUACAUAAACACCAUUUGAUGAGAUAAAUAACUGCCAUUGAGUUAAUUUCAUCAAGGAGGGACAUACUUCUUCCUAAGAUUCAAAAUCUGAAUGCAAAUCCUUCUAUAUGAAGCAGACUGAUCCUGAUACAACACGGGAUCAUACACCGAUGAGGAUACAUCUAUCUAUACACCAUUGAAGACCAUUAUGUGCAAGUUGCAACAACAAUGACAAGAGAGAAUGAAUAUGUAUGUAAGUGCUUUCAUAAUGUAGCACUUUGAGCUCUGCAGGGAGAGCAAAAGCCCCAGAUUGACUUUGCUGAAGCAAAUACUUCAACUUCCUUGGAGCAGAAGAAUGAUGUUGUAGAGAGUUAAAAUAAUUCUAGAUUUUCAGGCAGAGGUGUGCAUACUGUAUAGAAGGUCUUCAAAGCAAUUACUUUCUGCCCUUGCUCUUUCCUGACUAAUCCUUAGUAAGCCAUCUACGGCCACGAACUUGGAUACCACCGUAGCUCUGAUCACUGCUACUUUCUCCACCACUUUCUGCACUGGUAUAUCCAGAUUUCCGACGAUGCUUCUUCUUCCUUGAAGCUCCACUGUCACUAAUGCUUCCAUGUAAAAGGGGAUCAUCUAUCCCACGUAUGACCCUCCGUGUUGGAGAUGAAGUUGCAAUGCAACUGUCAUCCUUCGUUCGCUUCUCUUUCUCAUGCUUCUUUAUGUUCUGAGAGAUUUCAUGUAAUUUUUGUAUUCCUUUCUCUACAGGUUCUACUGCUUGGGUUACUGUGAAUUUCAGGUCAUUCACUAUAUAUUCACCACCUCCAAUAAAUAUAUCUUUAACAUUUUCUCUUAUGGUUGUUCCACCCCCGUCAUCAAUGUCCGGUUGAGGAAGACGUAAUUUGGUGCGACGUUCACUAUCUCUAACCUCUUCAGGAUCUACUGCCAAAUCAGCAGAUACAUAAUCUCCAAGUACUGCAACAUCCCCAGUAAAACACUCUCCCAUCAGCUCGUAUGGCUUGGCAGGGAAGACAUAGAGGUGAACCACAGAAGCAAUGCCCAUCUCAAUGCAUAUGAUGAAAUCUUGAAUGCUGGACUUAAACUGUAAAGCUUGAGCUAUUGGACUUUUAAGGAAACCAAGUGUCGAAAGCAGGGCUAUUGCCAGGCCUUGCCACCAAGUUAAGAAAACAAUUGACUUGAAAGUUAAAAACUUGUACAGCGGCUUGAUGUGAGAUAAUUCAUCCUUUGUAAUAGUAUAAAACUGAACUAGGCAAUACAAUGCCCAUGAUUGACUGAAAUUUAAAACCACAGCCAUAUAAGGAUACCCACACUUCCAUUUGAAGUCUC